GUAGAGUAAAAUAAUGGUCGUUGAAAUUGAUAAGAGAAUUAUAGUUUUUAUUUCAUUGUGUAUUAUAGACACUGCUUCUGCCUACAAGAAUGAAGAAGACAUCGGAAAAGCUUGAAAACAUUGUUACCAAAAUAUGGUCUUAAAAGAUCUGACAUAUUCAUAACUAGCAAGCUUGACACUGCUUCUGCCUACAAGAAUGAAGAAGACAUCGGAAAAAGCUUGAAAACAUUGUUACGAAAAUAUGGUCUUAAAAGAUCUGACAUAUUCAUAACUAGCAAGCUUGACACUGCUUCUGCCUACAAGAAUGAAGAAGACAUCGGAAAAAGCUUGAAAACAUUGUUACCAA